rnacentral:rRNA from 1 species
CGCGGCCUAUCAGCUUGUUGGUGGGGUAACGGCCCACCAAGGCAUCGACGGGUAGCUGGUCUGAGAGGACGACCAGCCACACUGGGACUGAGACACGGCCCAGACUCCUACGGGAGGCAGCAGUGGAGAAUCUUGCGCAAUGGGCGAAAGCCUGACGCAGCAACGCCGCGUGGGGGAUGAAGGCUCUCGGGUCGUAAACCCCUUUCAGUGGGAACGAAAUUGACGGUACCCACAGAAGAAGGACCGGCCAACUACGUGCCAGCAGCCGCGGUAACACGUAGGGUCCGAGCGUUGUCCGGAUUUAUUGGGCGUAAAGGGCCCGUAGGCGGCUUGAUAAGUCGGGUGUGAAAACUUCAGGCUCAACCUGGAGACGCCACCCGAUACUGUCAUGGCUUGAGUCUGGUAGGGGAGUGCGGAAUUCCUGGUGUAGCGGUGAAAUGCAUAGAUAUCAGGAGGAACACCGGUGGCGAAGGCGGCACUCUGGGCCAGUACUGACGCUGAUGGGCGAAAGCGUGGGUAGCAAACAGGAUUAGAUACCCUGGUAGUCCACGCCGUAAACGUUGGGCACUAGGUGUGGGGACUUUCAACGGUCUCUGUGCCGUAGCUAACGCAUUAAGUGCCCCGCCUGGGGAGUACG